UAAAAAAUCACAUAUAAUUAUAAAGAAUUACUUGUUGGCUAUCAAAGAGUCGCUUUGGCCGAGUGGUUAAGGCGUGUGCCUGCUAAGUACAUGGGGUUUCCCCGCGAGAAUUCGAAUCUCUCAGGCGACGAUUUUUUUAUCAUUUGAUAUAUAUAUUUUUUUAAUUCAAACUUCUCUACUUCUCUCUCAACACCGCUAAGAAAUGGAUGAUUUUUAGCAGAGGGUUGCUGUAGAUUUCUUAAACAAUACGUCAAUGUUAAUUGAAGCACCUGCAAAUGUGGAGAGCAGAGAACAUGAGAGUUCCUCUAAGCGUUGCAAAAGCUGCAAAACAAUUUCAAAGGUGUGGGAUGUUUUUCUGAAGAUCCCAGCAGAGUGUGAUAAAGAUUCGAAGGCUAUUUGUACGGGACAAUUUAUCAACCAAUAAUCAGGUUGCUCUCUUGGUUAGGUCUCUGCUUGAUGCAAAGAAGAACCUUCCUUGUAAUAUGAUAGACCUCCUGUCAUGAAGGUCUAUAAAAGAAAGGGCAAAACAGAGAAUUCAGCCUCAGCCCAAGUGAUAACCAUGACAAUUGGGAGAUCAAGUAAAACUGAACUAGAAGACUCAAACAGAUUAUUAUCAGUAGGCUGUCUCGGUGGGAGCUUGAGCUUGAAGCUGCCACUGCACAUACACAGAACAGGCUGGGUUUGAUCUCAUACAGACAUCAUUGGAAUAGUUCGUCUUGGUAAUAUGUAUGUGAAGCAAUUCCCACAAGGGAAGAAGAAUUUUAAUGUAAUUGCUAGAAAUUUGAGUUUGGAUAUGAGGAAAAAGUUCUGCAUUGAUUGUCUUACCCAGUAGAAUACUGUAUAUUACAUGCUAAAAGUAGCUGCUCAUUAUAAGAAUGCAUUUAUAUACUUAGGGGAAUGGGAUAACAGCUUCAAGUGCUAUCUAUCAGAAGAUGAGUGGGCAAAAGUGAAUCUCUUGUGCAAAUUCUUGAAUGGAUUUUAUGAGGUAGCAAAUGUGUUCUGUGAAACUAGAUUUCCGACCUCUAAUAUAUGUUGCUAGGGUGUUUGGAAGAUUCAUAAUGGCUUGUUGGAUGCAAUAAGAGGCCCAGAAAAUUUUAUGACUGGUAUGGUCAAGGAGAUGAAGUUAGAAUUCAAGCAAGCACUGGUCAGAUUAUAACUUUGUCAUCUGCUGCAAUCUUGGAGCCACGAUACAAGUUGAAGUUUAUUAAGUAUUGUAUACCAAACUUUAUGGCAUUGAUGCACAGUGAUAUGUUGGGUGAAUUGUUGGCACUCUUUACAGUUGUUUGAUGAGUACACGCAAAUUUCUGUCUGCUCUUAUGCCUAUGGGAUAUCUGUGGUUGCCUCUAACAUCCCUAAUGUUAUAGAUGAGUUCGAAGUUUAUAAAACUUUUCAAAGCACCAGAUUUUUGGACACCAGAGGAGAAAGCUCAGGUAGAUCUUUAUUUGGAAGAACAAAUCUAUGAUUAGUGAAGUAGAUGUGUUAAGUGUACAGUGGUGCAUGCUCAGUUAGAAAUUUUGACCAUUCCGGCCUCCACGACCAAUUCUGAGAGUGCAUUUGGUAUGGUAGGUCAAGUAAUAAUUCCCUAUUAAAGCUCCCUAAAACCAAAGACAGUAAGAGCCUUGGUUUGCCUUCAAGAUUGGGCGGAGGCUUCUGACAGAACAAGUUGAACCUUUUUAAUUAUAAAAUUCUGAUUUUUUUAGUGUUCAGUGUAUAAUCAUAUGCAUUUAUAGUUAUCUGUAGAGAAUUUAGGUAAUUUGAAAAGUAAAAAAUUGAAGAUAGUUCCAGUUCAGCAGUGAUGAGGCUGAUGAUUGGGUAGUUUGGAUUAGAUGAAUCGUUUGUUUAUUUUAGGUCCCAGACUACUAUAUUGCUUAAACUUGGUAUGACUAUGGUGCUAAUUUUAUGGCUUCUUUGUGUUUGCUUAUG